rnacentral:rRNA from 1 species
UUAUAAGAGACAGCAGUAGCCACGGUAAUACGUAGGUGGCAAGCGUUGUCCGGAAUUACUGGGCGUAAAGGGCUCGCAGGCGGUUUCUUAAGUCUGAUGUGAAAGCCCCCGGCUCAACCGGGGAGGGUCAUUGGAAACUGGGAAACUUGAGUGCAGAAGAGGAGAGUGGAAUUCCACGUGUAGCGGUGAAAUGCGUAGAGAUGUGGAGGAACACCAGUGGCGAAGGCGACUCUCUGGUCUGUAACUGACGCUGAGGAGCGAAAGCGUGGGGAGCGAACAGGAUUAGAUACCCCCGUAGUCCCUGUCUCUUAUAC